AGACGGAGGGCGCAAGCGUUGUUCGGAAUUACUGGGCGUAAAGGGCAGGUAGGUGGUCUGUUAAGUCUUCUGUGAAAAUCCGGGGCUCAACCCCGCGAAAUGCAGGUGAAACUGGCAGACUUGAGACCGGUAGAGGCUAGCGGAAUUCCUGGUGUAGCGGUGGAAUGCGUAGAUAUCAGGAAGAACACCUGUGGCGAAGGCGGCUAGCUGGGCCGGUUCUGACACUGAACUGCGAAAGCGUGGGGAGCAAACAGGAUUAGAUACCCCGGUAGUCC
rnacentral:rRNA from 1 species